rnacentral:lncRNA from 1 species
CAAGUCCUGGCAAUACAAGGAAGACCUGUCUCUGAGUGCUGAGGGCAGGGCUGCCCUGGAGACAGAGACACACCCAGAACAGAACUCCACCAACUUUCUAGGGAUUCCUAAUCCAGUCAAGCCCAUACUGACAGGGCUCCAUGCAUGGCUUUGGGCAAUUGACCUAAAGUCUGAGUCCCAGCAAGUAGGCAGUUCUGGUUGUCAAGGGGAGUGUGAUAAUACAUUUCUAGGAAGCACAGGGGUGUAAGAAGAGGUCUGGCUGUCAACAGGAGACCUAAAUUCACUGGUCUCUAGUGUUCAAUCCACUGCCCUUGGGUUUGGACUUUAUGAUGUCCAUGAAAAUACCCCAGAACACUCUAACCUGUAUGUUUUCUGCUUGUUUCUAUGUGGGCUUUACCUGUAACUUGCAGUAGGAGCCCCCAGAUGUUCAUGGACCUGGAUUGGGGACAAAGCUCACCAGCCUGCUUCUGUAAGGAUCCUCUGCACCAAAGGACAGGGCCACUUAUAAUCUGUGUCUUGCCAGAGCCUGGUAUAGCUCGGAAGUAAUAGCUAAAGUCCAGUCUCUCAUUGCACAGAAUAAAAAGCCAAAUUUAAGCCAUUCAGAAUCUGUCAAUGUAUUGGGUCACGGUUUUCCUAGCCUUGACAGUGCAUAAGGAACCCAGGGUGUAUGCAUAUGCAUGCAGAUGUCAGAGGAGGUCAGAAGAGGGCAGCACAUCCCCUGAGUCUAGAGUUAAAAGUGCUUAUCAGCUGCUAACCAUACAUAGGUGCCAGGAGCCAAGCUAGGCGCAGGAGAAACAGUCCCAGAUGUGGCGCGGCGGGGAGACCAGUUCAGCUGUGGCCUCAUAGAACAAUAGGCCAGGUCACUUCCCCCAAGACUUCCCCAGCCCCGAGAACAGCAGUCUAAGAGAGCGCACCACUGCAGUGCACAGGUACACACACUGCACGGGAGCCCACAGAAGUGGGAAGUGGGAGAGGUUGCAGCUGGCUGGCUGGGGCCCAGCUACAAGGACCGGCAUGUUGCUUUCCAAAGAGCAUUUCCAGGGUCCCUUCAUGGAAAGAGCCUCUGUGGACAGCAAGAUAAUGGAGGGUGUAGACCACAGAAGGAAGCUACCUGAUUAAGGAUGAUAAGGGGUGAAGCAGGAGUUGCUUUCAUGUGGGAGGGACAGAAGCCCACUGGAGGAGGGGACACAGUGCAAAUAUUGCUAAGUGAACCUAGUAGCCUAGUAGGACAGCCCCAGUUCAGUAGGACAACCCCUGGAGCACCUAACCAUGGUAGAGACCUGCAAAACCAGGAAGUGGGUGGCAGGCCUCUUCUACCUACUGCAUGGUUCAUGGGAGAGCACGGCAGAGCUAGCUUCCUGAAGCAGUCCUGAGCAGGGCCUCUUGCUUCUCCCUGCCUGCUUGGGUGGGAAAGGUUGCAUGUACAUGAAGAGAUGGGUCAAUAAGGCUGCCUUGGGCCUAAAGACAAAGGCACAGUAAGAACUGAGCCCUGGCAACCUGGCUUGGGUACCAAAAUGGGAUGCAGAAAGCUUUGGUGUUCCAUGGAGGGUGGGUGAAAGGCAUUGUAGGUCCCCUAAACCUGGCCAUGAGAUAACGUCCCAGUGGCUUCCCCCAGUACCCUGGGAGGAAGGCAGAUCGGAACAGAACUGAUUAACAGCUGUCUGGAAGGAAACCAAAGGUGAGUGGACAUUCUCCCAACAUUCCAAUACACAACUUCCCUAAAGCCUCAGCAACUGAUACUAUUUCUUCUUGUUCUUCUUCUUGUUCUUCUUCUUGUUCUUCUUCUUGUUCUUGUUCUUCUUCUUCUUGCUCUUGUUCUUCUUGUUCUUCUUCUUGUUCUUGUUCUUGUUGUUGUUGUUGUUCUUCUUCUUGUUCUUCUUCUUUUUGUUCUUGUUCUUGUUCUUCUUGUUCUUUUUCUUGUUCUUCUUCUUGUUCUUCUUCUUGUUCUUCUCCUUCUCCUUCUCCUUCUCCUCCUUCUUCUCCUCCUUCUUCUCCUCCCUCUCCCUCUCCCUCUCCCUCUCCUCCCUCUCCCUCUC